UAUCUGUGAGGUGGCUCUCAGGUCAUUGACACCACAGUGAGCAUCAGUCAGUGGAGUAUUAGAGGCUGUGUGACUGAAAAACGCUGUGUCAUUGGCUCGUAGUGUGAGUGCACACUUCACUAGAAACACUGACUGUGCAGGAACAGCAGAGCUGGACUGGACCUUUAAGGAAAUAAAGUGGAGCGAUGCUGUGACAAAUAUUCUCUUUGUUGCGUAAUGCAGCAAACUGGAUAAUUUCCUGCUGUGGCUCCUCAAAGACGGAGAGGACAGCAGCAGGAUGACUCUACCAGAGUAAAGGGCAGAAAGUGUGGACUGUCUCCAGUGAUGAAACACCGAUCCAGUCAAACCUUUCCCUAAUUCCUCCUGGGAGAGUGGACAGAAGAGACGUCCUCAUUUCUCUACCUGAUCAUUUAUCUGUAUAUAAAUUCAUUUACCUACAUGUCCGUCAGUGUUUGUCUGCAGUUGUUAUAAUGAUGACUUGUCUGAAAACUCCUUGUUGGGAAGCCGGACAACGUCUGACAACUAACAAGUGCAGCAGUAGCUCAGAAGCGACUCACAUCUCCUGUAUGUACCAUAAUAUCACCUGUAUGGUAAUAUAGUAGUCCAACAAAUUAAAUAAAUGGUUUAGAUCA